GAUGAACGCUGGCGGCGUGCCUAACACAUGCAAGUCGAGCGAUUCUCUUCGGAGAAGAGCGGCGGACGGGUGAGUAACGCGUGGGUAACCUGCCCUGUACACACGGAUAACAUACCGAAAGGUAUGCUAAUACGAGAUAAUAUACUUUUAUCGCAUGGUAGAAGUAUCAAAGCUCCGGCGGUACAGGAUGGACCCGCGUCUGAUUAGCUAGUUGUAAGGUAACGGCUUACCAAGGCGACGAUCAGUAGCCGACCUGAGAGGGGUGAUCGGCCACAUUGGAACUGAGACACGGUCCAAACUCCUACGGAGGCAGCAGUGGGGAAUAUUGCACAAUGGGCGAAAGCCUGAUGCAGCAACGCCGCGUGAGCGAUGAAGG
rnacentral:rRNA from 1 species